UAGCAGCUGGGUGUUUAUAGCUGAC
rnacentral:misc_RNA from 1 species